UUUCCCCCUUGACCUAGCAUAUCAAUAAGCGGAGGAAAAGAAACCAACAGGGAUUACCUCAGUAACGGCGAGUGAAGCGGUAACAGCUCAAAUUUGAAAUCUGGCGCAAGCCCGAAUUGUAAUUUGUAGAAGAUGCUUCGGGUGCGGUCCCGGUCUAAGUUCCUUGGAACAGGACGUCAUAGAGGGUGAGAAUCCCGUAUGUGACUGGUGACCUAACCUAUGUGAAGCUCUUUCGACGAGUCGAGUUGUUUGGGAAUGCAGCUCAAAAUGGGUGGUAUAUUUCAUCUAAAGCUAAAUAUUGGCCAGAGACCGAUAGCGCACAAGUAGAGUGAUCGAAAGAUGAAAAGCACUUUGGAAAGAGAGUUAAACAGUACGUGAAAUUGUUGAAAGGGAAGCGCUUGCAACCAGACUUGCGCGUAGUCGAUCAUCCGGCGUUUUCACCGGUGCACUCGACUGCGCUCAGGCCAGCAUCGGUUUGGGUGGUUGGAUAAAGGCUGUGGGAAUGUGGCUCCCCCGGGAGUGUUAUAGCCCACGGUGCAAUGCAGCCUACCUGGACCGAGGACCGCGCUUCGGCUAGGAUGCUGGCGUAAUGGUUGUAAGCGACCCGUCUUGAAACACGGACCAAGGAGUCUAACAUCUAUGCGAGUGUUUGGGUGUCAAACCCAUACGCGUAAUUAACGUGAACGGAGGUGAGAACCCUUAAGGGUGCAUCAUCGACCGAUCCUGAUGUCUUCGGAUGGAUUUGAGUAAGAGCAUAGCUGUUGGGACCCGAAAGAUGGUGAACUAUGCCUGAAUAGGGUGAAGCCAGAGGAAACUCUGGUGGAGGCUCGCAGCGGUUCUGACGUGCAAAUCGAUCGUCAAAUUUGGGCAUAGGGGCGAAAGACUAAUCGAACCAUCUAGUAGCUGGUUCCUGCCGAGCUUCUCUCCUUUAAGUAUAAAGUAA
rnacentral:rRNA from 1 species